AAACUUAAAGGAAUUGACGGAAGGGCACCACCAGGAGUGGAGCCUGCGGCUUAAUUUGACUCAACACGGGGAAACUUACCAGGUCCAGACUGGGUAAGGACGUACAGAUUGAUAGCUCUUUACAGAUUCUCAGGGUGGUGGUGCAUGGCCGUUCUUAGUUGGUGGAGUGAUUUGUCUGGUUAAUUCCGUUAACGAACGAGACCUUAACCUGCUAAAUAGCGUCGAGUUUCUUCUUGAAACGAAGAUGUCUUCUUAGAGGGACGUCGCGUGUCUAACGCGAGGAGGUGUGAGGCAAUAACAGGUCUGUGAUGCCCUUAG
rnacentral:rRNA from 1 species